GGAGCAAAACUCAAAAACUUAGUCUCAGUUCGGAUUGUAGGCUGAAACUCGCCUACAUGAAGCUGGAGUUGCUAGUAAUCGCGAAUCAGCAUGUCGCGGUGAAUACGUUCCCGGGCCUUGUACACACCGCCCGUCACACCAUGAGAGUUGGCAAUACCCAACGUACGUGAUCUAACCCGCAAGGGAGGAAGCGUCCUAAGGUAGGGUCAGCGAUUGGGGUGAAGUCGUAACAAGGUAAC
rnacentral:rRNA from 1 species